AUUGAACGCUGGCGGCAGGCCUAACACAUGCAAGUCGAGCGGAUGAGAGGAGCUUGCUUCUCGAUUCAGCGGCGGACGGGUGAGUAAUGCCUAGGAAUCUGCCUGGUAGUGGGGGACAACGUUUCGAAAGGAACGCUAAUACCGCAUACGUCCUACGGGAGAAAGCAGGGGACCUUCGGGCCUUGCGCUAUCAGAUGAGCCUAGGUCGGAUUAGCUAGUUGGUGAGGUAAUGGCUCACCACGGCGACGAUCCGUAACUGGUCUGAGAGGAUGAUCAGUCACACGGGAACUGAGACACGGUCCAGACGCCUACGGGAGGCAGCAGUGGGGAAUAUUGGACAAUGGGCGAAAGCCUGAGCCAGCCAUGCCGCGUGUGUGAAGAAGGUCUUCGGAUUGUAAAGCACUUUAAGUUGGGAGGAAGGGUUGUAGAUUAAUACUCUGCAAUUUUGACGUUGCCGACAGAAUAAGCACCGGCUAACUCUGUGCCAGCAGCCGCCGUAAGAC
rnacentral:rRNA from 1 species